rnacentral:rRNA from 1 species
ACUACGGGCGGCAGCAGUGAGGAAUAUUGGUCAAUGGACGAGAGUCUGAACCAGCCAAGUAGCGUGAAGGAUGACUGCCCUAUGGGUUGUAAACUUCUUUUAUAAAGGAAUAAAACGAGGCACGUGUGCCUUUUUGCAUGUACUUUAUGCAUAAGGAUCGGCUAACUCCGUGCCAGCAGCCGCGGUAAUACGGGGGAUCCGAGCGUUAUCCGGAUUUAUUGGGUUUAAAGGGAGCGUAGAUGGGUUGUUAAGUCAGUUGUGAAAGUUUGCGGCUCAACCGUAAAAUUGCAAUUGAUACUGGCAGGCUGGAGUACAGUUGAGGUAGGCGGAAUUCGUGGUGUAGCGGUGAAAUGCUUAGAUAUCACGAAGAACCCCGAUUGCGAAGGCAGCUUACUAAACUGUGACUGACAUUGAUGCUCGAAAGUGUGGGUAUCAAACAGGAUUAGAUACCCGGGUAGUC